rnacentral:rRNA from 1 species
GGCUGCAUGGCUGUCGUCAGCUCGUGUCGUGAGAUGUCGGUUAAGUCCGCUAACGAGCGCAACCCUCACUGUGUGUUAUAUGUGUCACACGGGACUGCCGGUUUUAAGCCGGAGGAAGGUGGGGAUGACGUCAAGUCAGCAUGGCCUUUAUAUCCUGGGCUACACACACGCUACAAUGGUCGGUACAAUAGGUUGCCAAGCCGCGAGGCGGAGCCAAUCCACAAAGCCGGCCUCAGUUCAGAUUGUAGGCUGCAACUCGCCUGCAUGAAGAUGGAGUUGCUAGUAACCGCAGGUCAGCAAUACUGCGGUGAAUACGUUCCCGGGUCUU